AGGAUGAACGCUAGCGGCAGGCUUAAUACAUGCAAGUCGAGGGGCAGCAGCUUUAUAGCAAUAUAGAGGCUGGCGACCGGCAAACGGGUGCGGAACACGUACACAACCUUCCUUGAAUAGGGGGAUAGCCCAUAGAAAUGUGGAUUAAUACCCCGUAAUAUAGCGGUGUGGCAUCACACUGUUAUUAUAGUUUCGGCGAUUCGAGAUGGGUGUGCGGCUGAUUAGGUAGUUGGCGGGUAAAGGCCCACCAAGCCUUCGAUCAGUAGCUGAUGUGAGAGCAUGAUCAGCCACACGGGCACUGAGACCACGGGCCCACUCCUACGGGAGGCAGCAGUAAGGAUAUGGCAUGACGCGAGUCUGAACCAGCCAUGCCGCGUGAAGGAUGAAGUCCUCUGAUUGUAACUUCUUUAGUAGGGUACGAAAAAGGUCUUACUAGAUCACUUGACAGUACCCUAUGAAUAAGCACCGCUAACCUCGU
rnacentral:rRNA from 1 species